rnacentral:rRNA from 1 species
UAGGGAAUCUUCCACAAUGGGCGAAAGCCUGAUGGAGCAACGCCGCGUGUGUGAUGAAGGGUUUCGGCUACGUAAAACACUGUUGUAAGAGAAGAAUGACAUUGAGAGUAACUGUUCAAUGUGUGACGGUAUCUUACCAGAAAGGAACGGCUAAAUACGUGCUAG